rnacentral:tmRNA from 1 species
GGGGACGACCCGGUUUCGACGGGGAUUACUGCAAGUGAUGUUGCGUGUCGAGGAUGGUCGUUGGCCUCGUUAAUCAUCCGACCAAGCCUUUAACUGGCAACAACAACAGCACCACCUUUGCUCUCGCUGCUUAAGUGAGACCAGCGCUCAGAAGCCCGGCCUUUGGCGUCUGAGUGAGCUGAACAAAAGAAGGCUAGCCCCCGUGACGCUCGGUAACGGACGGCGAAACCAAAUCGAGCUACGGUGCGGGAAGCCCGCCUGCAGGCCACACCCACACCCGACAAUUCAAGAGCAGGCUACACACGUAGAGACACGCUGAACGGAUCUUCGGACGGCAGUUCGACUCUGCCCGUCUCCACCA